AAUUCUUCCUGGAGGAGCUUGCUAUCUAACCGAUCAUCCACGUAAUACCUCACCAACUUUCGAAUAAAUCAGCCUGUAUACCAUCGUCGUCAGUUUACUUCCCGAGAAAUGUAAACACAAGGAACAAAUUUUACUUCCUGACGUCAGAUCGAGGUGCAGCUAAUAAGUUGGGGAUAAGUGAGCUACAAUCAUAAAUAUAAGAAUAAAAAUAUGUAUGAAUAAUGAACUGAUAGCCCCAUUUGAAACAGGAUUCAGCAGUAAUGAGCAAAAGAAAAUGCCCAUG
rnacentral:rRNA from 1 species